rnacentral:rRNA from 1 species
GGAGUUAGCCGGUGCUUCUUCUGCGAGUAACGUCACAGAUGUAAGGUAUUAACUUACACCCUUUCCUCCUCGCUGAAAGUGCUUUACAACCCGAAGGCCUUCUUCACACACGCGGCAUGGCUGCAUCAGGGUUUCCCCCAUUGUGCAAUAUUCCCCACUGCUGCCUCCCGUAGGAGUCUGGGCCGUGUCUCAGUCCCAGUGUGGCUGAUCAUCCUCUCAGACCAGCUAGGGAUCGUCGCCUAGGUGAGCCUUUACCUCACCUACUAGCUAAUCCCACCUGGGCUUAUCCAUCAGCGCAAGGCCCGAAGGUCCCCUGCUUUCCCCCGUAGGGCGUAUGCGGUAUUAGCAGUCGUUUCCAACUGUUAUCCCCACAAAUGGGCAAAUUCCCAGGCAUUACUCACCCGUCCGCCGCUCGUCAUCUUCAAAGCAAGCUUUUGAAAUGUUACCGCUCGACUUGCAUGUGUUAGGCCUGCCGCCAGCGUUCAAUCUGAGCCAGAAUCAAACUCUAGA